rnacentral:tRNA from 1 species
GGCGAUGUAGCUCAGGCGGUUAGAGCACUGGUUUCAUAAGCCGGGGGUCGCUGGUUCAAGUCCAGCCAUCGCCACCA